AAAAGAAGUCGAUUUUAGAGUUCAUAAAUACCUCCAGUAUAACUUAUAAUAGGUUCACCUUCAACAAUUACUAUGUAAAUAUCACCUUUCAUUGAAACCAUAAAAACUAAUAGAAUAAUCAACAACGUAAAUCCAAAAUUAGCAUAGAAUACUAAACAUUUAAAAUGAAGAGAAGUUGAACAUAAACCAAAAGUAAGAUUUUUUAAACUGAUAUGAAAGGAAAUGCAGAAAAGGUAUGAACUUUUCACUAAUAUAUGAAAAAUAACAUGUAGCAAACGUUUGUUAUCCACUCAUUUUUAAAGCCAAUAGGAAGAAGACUGCCACCACACUUGUCACCAAAAAAUUACGAAUCUCGACACGUUCCUCACGAAUCUGUCACUGCCGCCGGAGUACCCUUUUGUUCUCUGCUCCCAUGUUCGCACCACUAUGGCCGCUGAUAUUU
rnacentral:lncRNA from 1 species